rnacentral:rRNA from 1 species
UGCGUAGGCGGGCUGGCAAGUCAGGCGUGAAAUCCCGGGGCUUAACGUGGGCAUUGCAUUUGAAACUAUGUAGCUAGAGUUCUGUAGAGGGGGGUAGAAUUCCAGGUGUAGCGGUGAAAUGCGUAGAGAUCUGGAGGAAUACCGAUUGCGAAGGCAGCCCCCUGGACAGUGACUGACGCUCAUAUGCGAAAGCGUGGGGAUCAAACAGGAUUAGAUACCCCUGUA